rnacentral:rRNA from 1 species
GAUGAACGCUAGCGGCAGGCCUAACACAUGCAAGUCGAGGGAGAAGCCCUUUCGGGGGCAGUAACCGGCGCACCGGUUCGUAACGCGUAUGCAACCUCCCUUUCACAUGGGGAUAGCCCGAAGAAAUUUGGAUUAAUACCCCAUAAUUUUAUUGUAUGGCCUCCUUUGAUAAUUAAAACUUCUGUGGUGAAAGCUGGGGAUGCGUCCUAUUAGCUAGUUGGAGUGGUAACGGCACCCCAAGGCUACGAUAGGUAGGUGUCCUGAUAGGGAGACACACCACAAGGGUACUGAGACAGAGACUAGAAAGGUACGCGACGGAGGAGAGAGGAAGACAAGUAAAUGGAGGGAAGACUAAACAAGCCGCGUCGGGGGAAGGAAGAAUGGGUUAGGGGAUGUAAACUGUUGGGAUAUGGGAAGAAUAAGGCGUAAGUGCACGUUGAUGACGGUACCAAAUGAAUAAGCAUCGGCUAACUCCGUG